rnacentral:rRNA from 1 species
UACGAAGGGGGCUAGCGUUGUUCGGAAUUACUGGGCGUAAAGCGCGCGCAGGUGGUUUUUCAAGUCAGUGGUGAAAGCCCGGAGCUCAACUCCGGAAAUGCCAUUGAAACUGUGAGACUUGAGGACGAGAGAGGUGAGUGGAAUUCCCAGUGUAGAGGUGAAAUUCGUAGAUAUUGGGAAGAACACCGGUGGCGAAGGCGGCUCACUGGCUCGUAUCUGACGCUCAGGCGCGACAGCGUGGGGAGCAAACAGG